UACGGGGGGGGCAAGCGUUGUUCGGAAUUACUGGGCGUAAAGGGCUCGUAGGCGGCCAACUAAGUCGGAUGUGAAAUCCCCAGGCUUAACCUGGGAACUGCAUCCGAUACUGGAUGGCUUGAAUCCGGGAGAGGGAUGCGGAAUUCCAGGUGUAGCGGUGAAAUGCGUAGAUAUCUGGAGGAACACCGGUGGCGAAGGCGGCAUCCUGGACCGGCAUUGACGCCUGAGGAGCGAAAGCCAGGGGAGCAAACGGG
rnacentral:rRNA from 1 species